UGGCUCGCUGCAUCUCACACACACUGUCUGCGAGGCUGCUGCUGCCUCAGCUGUAAUGUUGCACCAGUGCCUCUGGACAAGUGUUUGGGCAGCAAAACCCGUCCCUCACGCUUGCUUCAGAGGAACGGAUGCUGGAGGAACUCAUCUUGUAUCAAUGGGCAG